UACGUAGGGACCGAGCGUUGUCCGGAAUCAUUGGGCGUAAAGAGCGUGUAGGCGGCUUGCUAAGUCUUGCGUGAAAUCUCGGGGCUCAACCCCGAGCGGUCGUGGGAACUGGCAGGCUAGAGUGCGGGAGAGGAGAAUGGAAUUCCUGGUGUAGCGGUGAAAUGCGCAGAUAGUCAGGAGGAACACCAGUGGCGAAGGCGGCUCUCUGGGCCCUACCUGACGCUGAGACGCGAAAGCGUGGGGAGCAACAGG
rnacentral:rRNA from 1 species